rnacentral:rRNA from 1 species
GGGAGAGUAACGCGUAUCCGACCUGUACACCACUUGGGGAUAAACUUGCGAAAGUAAGACUAAUACCCAAUGAUAUCUCUAGAAGACAUCUGAAAGGGAUUAAAGAUUUAUCGGUGAUGGAUGGGGAUGCGUCUGAUUAGCUUGUUGGCGGGGUAACGGCCCACCAAGGCGACGAUCAGUAGGGGUUCUGAGAGGAAGGUCCCCCACAUUGGAACUGAGACACGGUCCAAACUCCUACGGGAGGCAGCAGUGAGGAAUAUCGGUCAAUGGACGAGAGUCUGAACCAGCCAAGUAGCGUGCAGGAUGACGGCCCUAUGGGUUGUAAACUGCUUUUAUAAGGGAAUAAAGUGAGUCUCGUGAGACUUUUUGCAUGUACCUUAUGAAUAAGGACCGGCUAAUUCCGUGCCAGUAGCCGCGGUAAUACGGAAGGUCCGGGCGUUAUCCGGAUUUAUUGGGUUUAAAGGGAGCGUAGGCCGGAGAUUAAGCGUGUUGUGAAAUGUAGACGCUCAACGUCUGCACUGCAGCGCGAACUGGUUUCCUUGAGUACGCACAAAGUGGGCGGAAUUCGUGGUGUAGCGGUGAAAUGCUUAGAUAUCACGAAGAACUCCGAUUGCGAAGGCAGCUCACUGGAGCGCAACUGACGCUGAAGCUCGAAAGUGCGGGUAUCGAACAGGAUUAGAUACCCUGGUAGUCCGCACGGUAAACGAUGGAUGCCCGCUGUUGGUCUGAAUAGGUCAGCGGCCAAGGG